CAGCAGCCGCGGUAAGACGUAAGAUGCAAACGUUAUCCGGAAUUAUUGGGCGUAAAGAGUUCGUAGACGAACUGUUAAGUAGAAUGUUAAAGGCCAGGGCCUAACCCUGGUAUGGUGUUCUAAACUGGCAGACUAGAGUAUAGCAGAGGCAAGUGGAAUUCUGUGUGUAGGGGUAAUAUCCGUAGAUAUACAGAGGAACACCAAAAGCGAAGGCAGCUUGCUGGGCUAUUACUGACGUUCAAGAACGAAAGCGUGGGGAGCAAACAGGAUUAGAUACCCUGGUAGUCCACGCCCUAAACUAUGAUCACUCGAUGUUGGAGGAUUCGACCCCUUCGGCGUCCAAGCUAACGCGAUAAGUGAUCCGCCUGGGUAGUACGAUCGCAAGAUUAAAACUCAAAGAAAUAGACGGGGACCCGCACAAGCGGUGGAGCAUCUGGUUUAAUUCGACAAUAAGCGGAAAACCUCACCAAGACUUGACAUCCCGAGAAGACUGCCGAAAGGUGGUUGUGCCGCAAGGAACUCGGUGACAGGUGCUGCAUGGUUGUCGUCAGCUCGUGCCUUGAGGUGUUCGGUUAAGUCCGUAAACGAGCGCAACCCAUGUCGUGAGUUGUAUUUUUCUCACGAGACUGCCGGUUCUAAAUCGGAGGAAGGUAUGGAUGACGUCAAAUCAGCAUGGCCCUUAUGUCUUGGGCCACACAGGUGCUACAAUGGACAGUACAAAGGGCUGCAACAUAGCAAUAUGAAGCCAAUCCCAAAAACUGUUCUUAGUUCGGAUUGAAGGCUGCAAUUCGCCUUCAUGAAGCUGGAAUCGCUAGUAAACGUGAAUCAGCACGUCACGUUGAAUAUGUUCCCGGGUCUUGUACUCACCGCCCGUCAAG
rnacentral:rRNA from 1 species